ensembl:rRNA 5S_rRNA 5S ribosomal RNA
GUCUACGGCCAUACCAUCCUGAACGCACCGAUUUCUCCUCUGAUCUCGGAAGCUAAGCAGGGUUGGGCCUGGUUAGUAUUGGGAUGGGAGAUGAGAACUUGCCCAGGCUGAUGUUCAUU